rnacentral:rRNA from 1 species
UAGAGGAAAGCGGGGGAUCUUCGGACCUCGCGCUGGUGGACAAGCCUACGUCCGAUUAGCUAGUUGGUGGGGUAAAAGCCUACCAAGGCGACGAUCGGUAGCUGGUCUGAGAGGAUGAUCAGCCACACUGGGACUGAGACACGGCCCAGACUCCUACGGGAGGCAGCAGUGGGGAAUAUUGGACAAUGGGCGCAAGCCUGAUCCAGCAAUGCCGCGUGGGUGAAGAAGGCCUGCGGGUUGUAAAGCCCUUUAAGCGGGGAGGAAAGCCGGGGUGCAAAUAGCGCCUCGGGGUGACGUUACCCGCAGAAUAAGCACCGGCUAACUCCGUGCCAGCAGCCGCGGUAAUACGGGGGGUGCGAGCGUUAAUCGGAAUGACUGGGCGUAAAGCGUGCGUAGGCGGUGUAAUCAGUCAGCCGUGAAAGCCCCGGGCUUAACCUGG